AGCCAGACUCCUACGGGAGGCAGCAGUGGGGAAUAUUGCACAAUGGGGGAAACCCUGAUGCAGCGACGCCGCGUGAGCGAUGAAGUAUUUCGGUAUGUAAAGCUCUAUCAGCAGGGAGGAAAAUGACGGUACCUGACUAAGAAGCCCCGGCUAACUACGUGCCAGCAGCCGCGGUAAUACGUAGGGGGCAAGCGUUAUCCGGAUUUACUGGGUGUAAAGGGAGCGUAGACGGCGGUGCAAGCCAGAUGUGAAAGCCCGAGGCUCAACCCCGGGACUGCAUUUGGAACUGUGCUGCUAGAGUGUCGGAGAGGCAGGCGGAAUUCCUAGUGUAGCGGUGAAAUGCGUAGAUAUUAGGAGGAACACCAGUGGCGAAGGCGGCUUGCUGGACGAUGACUGACGUUGAGGCUCGAAAGCGUGGGGAGCAAACAGGAUUAGAUACCCGCGUA
rnacentral:rRNA from 1 species